rnacentral:rRNA from 1 species
AGAGUUUGAUCCUGGCUCAGGACGAACGCUGGCGGCGUGCCUAAUACAUGCAAGUCGAGCGAGCGGAACCAACAGAUUUACUUCGGUAAUGACGUUGGGAAAGCGAGCGGCGGAUGGGUGAGUAACACGUGGGGAACCUGCCCCUAAGUCUGGGAUACCAUUUGGAAACAGGUGCUAAUACCGGAUAAUAAAGCAGAUCGCAUGAUCAGCUUUUGAAAGGCGGCGUAAGCUGUCGCUAAGGGAUGGCACCGCGGUGCAUUAGCUAGUUGGUAAGGUAACGGCUUACCAAGGCGACGAUGCAUAGCCGAGUUGAGAGACUGAUCGGCCACAUUGGGACUGAGACACGGCCCAAACUCCUACGGGAGGCAGCAGUAGGGAAUCUUCCACAAUGGACGCAAGUCUGAUGGAGCAACGCCGCGUGAGUGAAGAAGGUUUUCGGAUCGUAAAGCUCUGUUGUUGGUGAAGAAGGAUAGAGGUAGUAACUGGCCUUUAUUUGACGGUAAUCAACCAGAAAGUCACGGCUAACUACGUGCCAGCAGCCGCGGUAAUACGUAGGUGGCAAGCGUUGUCCGGAUUUAUUGGGCGUAAAGCGAGCGCAGGCGGAAAAAUAAGUCUAAUGUGAAAGCCCUCGGCUUAACCGAGGAACUGCAUCGGAAACUGUUUUUCUUGAGUGCAGAAGAGGAGAGUGGAACUCCAUGUGUAGCGGUGGAAUGCGUAGAUAUAUGGAAGAACACCAGUGGCGAAGGCGGCUCUCUGGUCUGCAACUGACGCUGAGGCUCGAAAGCAUGGGUAGCGAACAGGAUUAGAUACCCUGGUAGUCCAUGCCGUAA